UUCCUUUGUAUUCUUUGUUUCCUGAGGUUUUUUUUUAAAAUCAGGAAUAUAUAUUGGAUCUUUUUUCAAAUGUUUUAUCUUUAUUGAGAUGACUUUAUGCUUUUUAGUUGAAAAUUUGUUAAUAUGAUGGAUUACAUAGAUUACAUAGAUUGAUUUUCAAAUGUUGAACCAACUUUGCCUUCCUGGGAUACACUGCCCCAAUGUAUUAUCUAUCCUUCCAUUACAUUGUUUGAUUCAAUUUGCCAAACUUUUAUUUAGAAUUUUUAUAUCUGUGUUCAUGAGAAAUACUGACCUGACUUUUCUUUACUUGCAAUGUCUUUGGUUUAAUAGCCACAUGACAUUGGUUUUAUCUGAUACAUUUUGAAGUAUUUUCUCCUCAGUCUCUGAAAGAACUUGUGUAGAAUUGAUAUUAUUUCUUUCUAAAAUGUUUGGUAGAAUUUACUAUCCAAUCCUGACGAUGAGCACCCAGUUAUCAAUGUCGGGUUAUGCAUCCAGUCAUCACCCAACAUCAAUUCUCUUCCUGGGCGAAUCAACCCCUGUUGCCUGUUUCUUAGGGUCUGCUCUGUCUAUUUGAUAAUGGAGUCACGAGCCUGUAGUCUCUGGAGUGGGAUUAGCUCCUGGCAUCAGAAUCAGAGUUGUGAUUUGGUCUCUUAGUAACCAUUUCUCUUUCUUUUCUUUUUCUUUCUCGUCUUUCUUCUUUUCCUUUCUUUUUGCUUUUUUAAUAUUUUUUACCAUAUGUAAGUGUACACUCCAGCAACAUGAAGCACAUUCACAUUCUUGCACAACCACCACCCCGAUUUGCCUCUAGAACUCCCAUCUUCCCAAACUGAACAUCCGGACCCAUGCAACAACUCUUCACUCUCCCCCCGCCCGCCCCACCCCCGCCUCCCCGUCCCGCCCCGACCCAUUCUAUUUUAUGUCUCUACUAAUCUUACCACUGUGGGGUACCUCAUAUAAGUGGAAUCCUAGAGUAUUUGUCCUAUUGUGUCUGGCUGAUUUCACUGAGCAUAAUGUCUUCAAGGUUUAGCCACAUCGUUUAGCACGUGUCACAAUUUCCUUUUUUUUUUUUUUUUUUUUUUAUGGUUCAGUGAUAGUCCGUUGUGUGUAUUUGAGCAAAGAAGCGGAGUCUGAAAGUCAGUAGAGCUGAGUCACAAGAAUGUAACCCACAAGGAAAGGUUCGGUGCAUUCCUGCUCCCUGUGCUCCUGGAGUUUAUCUCUCCUAAGGCUUGGCUCCUUAAUUCUUACGAAUGAUUAAGAAUUCAGUGUUUCCCAGUACAAUUCUUCCCCACUCCCUUUAAGGAGCUAACCCAAAUCGGUUGUUCAUAAUAGAAGAGUCUUAACUGCUGUGGCCCAGGAUGUGUUUCAUCCGGGAAAUAGAGCGAUCAUCGUUGAGCUAGUCCCAUUGUUUCUUCAUGGCGGAGAGUGGCCAGAUUCAUAUAGAUGAUUCAUACCUGAAGUGGCUCUGUAAAUUGAAUUCAUGGUUCAAUACACAAGGGCUUUAAAUAAGCCUGAGAGACCACACUGCCAUAGGACAUUACUCAUGAAAAAAUAUCUUGAGAUGCAAAGUCCUAUUCAUUCUAUGAUGGCUGGACACUAAACAUUUAGAAGUGGAAUAAAAACACUGAGAUCCUAACAUGGAAGAUCUUCAAAAGAAUUAUUUCUCUUUAAAAGAAUUCUGAGAAUCCGAAAAACAUUGAGCAAAAGGAUUUCAAAAAGAUAUCAUUAGAGAAGAAAGACUCCGAAGAGAAAAGAGGCCAACAGAGGACACGAAACUAUGCUGAGUGUAUUGGGUUUAUUGAACGGGCUGAACUCUGUGGGGUCCAAACGGGAAACGACUUGUAUCUCCUCCAGCACUGCCAUCAGACCAGCUCUGCGUUGUGCUUCCUGCCCCUUGACAGUGUCUCCUGCGGGGCCUGCAGCAUUUAGAUUGCUUUCGGGGGCCAGGAGUCCAACAACUGCAUUUCUCAGACUCCCCUGCGAGCUGUUUACCGGGGAAGCCCUGUCAGCAGGAGGCACCAGUGGGAAACCAGAAGAGGAGCCUCUCCCUGUGUGUGGCACUGGAAGCAGCAGCCGGAGCUGGUGAUAACGGCUUCCAACAACGUCACUGCGGUCAAAGCAGCGACAGAGUUCCAGAAACCACAGCAGCAGCUCCAGUCCAGGUAGCAGAUUCCUGAUCUCUGGACGAUCCCCGUCCUCAUCCCAUUUUUACCUUCUCCAGUUUGGCCAACACGUUUGUAACCGAUUCGCCGCAUCGCAUCCUGUUUUACUCCGUCCAGAGUGGCUUCUGUUUUCCUGUCUUGAUAUUGACUGAUACAAUACGCAAAUUGUCCGAUGCAAACAGACCCUGAUCAGGGUGCAUGGGGUGCGGGGUGUAGUGAGGAGGGGUCACUGGCUUCUAAAGCUAAUCUCUGUUCUACUCAACCCUGAGCACUUUGACCACUUUUAUGGCGCAAGUGUGACCCUUGUCACCACCAGCCACUCAAGCUGGUUCUUUUUUGUUUUUUUAAGAGUUUAUUUUUAAGUAGUCUCCACAUCAGGUUGGCCCUUUGUGUUUUGAAUUUGACCCCCUAGUAACUGUCCCUUGGCUCCACCCCUCAGCCCCACUCUUUGCCCUUUGAAAGCUUGGCUGCCCCCUCUUUGAUGGUGGCCCUUGGUUACCUCUUGAUGCAAGCUUCUUGUGCAUAUGACGUUCCUGCUCUGACUUCCCCAAGCCAGGCUCCACACACAGUCUGCCCUAUUCCCAUCCCAGGAAGCAGGCAAAGCUCGUUUAAAAAUCCAAGAGUGUUAGCCUGUGUUCAACCAGAGAAGUAGAACCCAUAGUAAAAAGGGUAAAAAUACACAGAAGAAUAGGGGAUCAAGGGAUUGUUAGAGGAAGGAGCCCCACACAAUUGAGGGAGCUGGUUAAGUAGUCUCUGUGAGUAUGUGGUCUCCAUGUCUGAUGCUGGAACUUCAAGUCCAUAGGACAGGGAAUCAGGAAGAGAAGAUGGAUGUCAAGGACGGGGUAGAAGCCACAGAGGGGGCUGGUGCUCCAGAGGAUGGUCUGAAACCAUGUCAGUUCUUGUUGCCUCUGACCCUGUGGUAUGUCUGCAGAAGCUGAGUUGAAGAUAUGGAGCUGGGAGUACAAUGAGCAAAUACUCUUAAAGCUCAGAGGGCAGAGAAUCAGAAGAGAACUGCAUAGAUAGGGCUCUGAUGAUCGGCAGAAGGUCCGCCUUGAGUUUUUCAGUGGGAAACUGAUCAGUGCAAGCAUGUGAGGAAAUCACCCAAGCCUAGUAAAACCACCCAAAAGGAUUAGAAGGAGCAAUCACUCAGCUCACAUAGGAUCAGGAAUGGUUCCUAUUCUCACAAAACAAAGUAAAAAAAAAAAAACCCUCAUAAUUCACAAGGCAUCCAACAGAAUACCCAAAAAAGGUUAGCUUUGCCUCAGUACUGGGGCAAAAUCAGCCCCAAUCUAAUAGUGCCUGGUCCUACUUAACCAAACAUAAAUCUAAGACAUGAAAGGGUGAAACUAUUCCCAAGUAGUUUAACUGCACUCCAGAACAAAGCUCAAGCAUAUUUUCAGACAUUACAAAAUGUCUAGUACCAAACAAAGUAAUACUCACAAUCUCUGACAUCCAAUAAAAAAUGAUCAGGCAUGCAAAGAAGCAGGAAAAUAUAACCUCCUCAUAAUUGAGGAGAAAAAUCAGUCAAU